UUAAUUGGAUUGAGCCUUGGUAUGGAAACCUACUAAGUGAGAACUUUCAAAUUCAGGGAAACCCCGGAAUUAAAAAAGGGCAAUCCUGAGCCAAAUCCUGUUUUUUAAAAGGUUCAGAAAACAAAAAAAAAGGAUAGGUCCAGAGACUCAAUGGAAGCUGUUCUAAUAAAUGUGGGCACUGGUAGAGGAAUCUUUCCACCAAAACGUCCGAAAGGAUCAAGGAUAAACCUAUCUAUUGAAUACUAUAGCAAAUGCUUAAUGAUGGGCCGAAUCUCUAGAUAUAUUUUUUUAUAUGAAAAAUAGAAGAAGAAGAGUUGGUGUGAAUUGAUUCGACAUUGAAUAAAAAAUCGAAUUUGUUUUCAUCAAAUCAUUCACUCCAUAGUCCGAUAAACCUUUUAAAGAAUUGAUCAAUCGGACAAGAAUAAAGAUAGAGUCCCCUUCUACAUGUCAAUACUGGCAACAAUGAAAUUUAUAGUAAGAGGAAAAUCCGUUGACUUUUAAAAUCGUGAGGGUUCAAGUCCCUCUAUCCCCAAACAAGCCUAUUUGACUCCCCAAAUCUUUAUCCUACCCUCUCCCUUUCGGUUCGAAAUUGCUUGAUUUUGAUGAUUCUUUGACAACCGUAGUUGGGCGUAAAUGACUUUCUAUUCUCCUAUGUGAUAUAGAAUAAGAAUACACAUCCGAAUUUAGCAAAGAAUCCUGAUUUAAAUGAUUCACAAUCAAUAGCUUUACGAAUACUUAAACCUCAAAAGUGGUCUUUUUGAAGAUCAAAGAAAUUUCAGUAGUUGGAUAAAAAUUUGUAAUCCCCCCCUUUCCCUUUAAUUGACAUAGACCCCAGCCAUCGACUAAAAUAAUAAAGAUUACUACGCUGAGAAUGGUCGGGAUAG
rnacentral:misc_RNA from 1 species